rnacentral:lncRNA from 1 species
GCCAGCUUCUUAAACUUCUUGAAAUGUUCCAGUGUUUCAAAACUGGAGCAAGUUAGUAAGGGCUUGUCUAUUGGAGGUACGCUGGAAUAGCUAUUCCACCUUAAAUUCACAGCCUCCUUUAAUCUGGAAUAACUCUGAAGUGUAAACAAGCCCUAAGGCAUGAAGAAAUGUUGGGGCUGAUUUUUAAAGAUGCUGAGCUACAUGUAGAUGCCAUUGGUUGCAACUUGAAAUGUGACUCCUCGGUACCUCUGACAAUCAACCCCCCUUAUUGUAUUGGAAGAAGGGAGGCCACUGUCAUCUGAUCAUAUUCAGGUACAUCUCUUCUCUCAGCUGAAUAUGUGCUUGCUAGCGGCUCCUGCUGCAGUCACUGGGAGCUGAGUGGCCCAUUUUGCCAACAGAAGGAAAAGAAUCCCAGGAGAGUCGGAAGCAUACACAAGACCUAAUAAUCGCUAUAAUGAGUGUCUUCUUGAUAAUCUCCCUCCUACUCAUUCCGGGCUGCAGUUUCCUUUCUUACAAACUGAUGACAAAGGACAACACGACUUUGAAGAAAGAAGUGAAAUCUAUCACCAUCCAGUCUCACUUGCAUCAUGUUGAAACGAGGAUUGUCCUAUCUCCUUCCCAGCCUAUGCAAUUAGCUGCCCCCCAACAGAGGAGCUCCCAAGGAACCUCCCUCAUACAAACAUCACCGAUUUAUAAACAGCCUGGCGAUGUGCCACCGCUACGACCAGCCUCCAAUGUAUCUGCUGUCAGUUUUGCAUACACUGACCCUAGCACUGUUUUCUCAGCACCCAUACAAACAUCACCGAUUUAUAAACAGCCUGGCGAUGUGCCACCGCUACGACCAGCCUCCAAUGUAUCUGCUGUCAGUUUUGCAUACACUGACCCUAGCACUGUUUUCUCAGCACCCAGGAACCGUACUCCGGAAAGUUUUCUUUCUAACCUCUCAAAGUCAGGAAGCCUUUUUUCUAUGGAACAACAUGAUCUCUUUUAUGGGUCUUCCAGGAGUUCUUCCAGAGGGUCCAUGGACAACCCUGGAUACAAAUAUGAAGAUGGAGAAGGAAGCGGUGAUUCUGGGAGCAGCAUUUGUCCCAUUCAUGUGACAGACGAUCUACCUUUCACCAGACAUUAAUUAUAUUUAGGGUGACCAGAUCACUGACAGGAAAUAUCGAGACCGGGGGGGAGCAAAAAAAAACAAAAAACAAACAAACAAAAAAAGUAAAAAAAAAAAAAAAAAAAAAAAGCCGUUUUGCAGGUGCCGGGGGAAUUAGCAGGCCGCGGCCCCGCCCCCCCUGAGGGCCCCGGGCACAUGCGACACGU